rnacentral:rRNA from 1 species
ACUGCCUGCCCAGUGAAUCUUAAACGGCCGCGGUAUCCUGACCGUGCAAAGGUAGCAUAAUCCCCAGUCCCCUAAAUAGGGACCAGUAUCAAUGGCAAGACGAGGUCCUAACUGUCUCCUUACUUUAAUUUUAAACUUCUUUAGUUGUGCAAAAGCGACUAUUUAAGCGUAAGACGAGAAGACCCUAUCGAGCUUAAGUUUAAAAACACAAAGACUAAAAAGAAAAUUUGCUAUAAAACUUUUAACUUUUUCUUUAUUUGUUUCUACAUUUUAGUUGGGGCAACUGCGGAGAAAAUUUAUCCUCCGUAAUUAAUUAUUAGAUUUCAAAUCUAAAUUUGAAUAGUGUUCUGAUCCUGAAUUUUUGAUUAAUGAAACAAGUUACCGUAGGGAUAACAGCGUAAUACCUUUUAAGAGUUCACAUUGUCAAAGGAGUUUGCGACCUCGAUGUUGGAUCGGGUCAUCCUAAUGGUGCAGCCGCUAUUAAGGGUUGGUCUGUUCG